CAGAGUGGGGUGUCCGGGGAGGAGCAACUCUGCGCUGAUUUUCCGGAGCUCGACCUCUCCCAGCUGGACGUCGGCGACUUGGACUCGGCCACCUGCUUCGAGGAGCUGCAGUGGUGCCCAGAGAGCGCCGAGGCGGACCCCAGCCAGUACAGCCCCCGCGAUGCCGAGCUCUUUCAGAUCAUCGACAGCGAGAACGAGGCGCUGCUGGCGGCCCUCACGGAGAGCCUGGGUGACAUCCCCGAAGAUGACGUGGGUCUGGCCGCCUUCCCAGCCCUGGACGAUGGAGACUCACCCUCCUGCGCGUCCGCGUCGCCCGCCCCCUCCUCUGCGCCCCCCAGCCCCGCCCCGGAGGGGGCCCCCGGCCCGGCCCCUGAGGCGGAGGAGCUCUCGCUGCUGCAGAAACUCCUCCUCGCCGCGUCCUCCCCGACCUUGACCUCCGACUCCCAGAAGGAGGGGACCGCCUGGCGCCAGGCAGGCCUCCGGUCCCGAAGCCAGCGGCCUGGUGUCAAGACGGACAGCACCCAAGACAGGAAGGCCCCCACGUCGCAGCCUCAGAGCCGGGCCUGCACGGAGCUGCAUAAGCACCUCACCUCGGCGCCCUCCUGCCCCCGGCCUUUGUCGCGUGGAAGCUCAUGGGGACGCAGUUACACGCAGGGUCUGGAGAGCUGGGUUGAGUCCUGGCUCCACCAAGAGCUGCCUCUGUGACGUUGUGGCUCGCGGUGUCCCUUCCGCUCGUGGAGCCUCUGUGUGUCACAAGGAGACGGAGCGCAUGACCUCUGCCCCGCGCUGGCUCGUCUCUGAUGGCAGCGCGGCUAGAUGGCAGUGGAGGGUGAAGGAUGCGGAUUUUCAGGGAGGGACGAGCAUUGCAGGUAGUUAGACUUUGGCCUUGAGCAGAGCAGAGAUCUGAGGUCGCGCUGGGAUGGGAGGAGCCCAAGGUCACGGCCGGCCGGGGCCGCUGCUGGGGGAGGGCGCCGGCCGCGGGCGCAGAGCGGCUUCUUCCCGCCGUCUGUGCAUGAAAGGCUCUGCCACGGCCCGCGCCUGCGGCCAGCCUCCAUCUGGAAGACUUACUCGGUGCUGAGUCUCCCUCACCAAGGAGACUCCAAGGAUAGCUCGGCAACCAUGGCCUUUGCCCCCAGACGAAGGGGUGGCCCGAGGGAGCAGCUGCCACUGGCAGGCGGCUGGCUGUCUGUGCUAGCGUUUGCUCGCCGUCAUGUGUACCUGUGACUUGCCCUGAAAGCCUGCAGUAGACCGUGUGGGUAGCGCCCCCACGAGGAAGCCUGUACCGUCGUCUCUGUGCCGGGCAGCUAUUUUCAGCCGCUGAGUGGGAUUCUUCCAUCUCCUUCCUCAGUCGCCGCGAGGCUGGAUCGGAUCCCUCUCCAGGGCUCUGGUUACCCAAGGAAAAUGCAUCACGGCGGUGGAGCGUGAGCGGCUGGAGAGCAGCUGAGGCCCCCGCUCCCUGACCCCGUCACCCCAUGUCCCCCCAGCACUGCUUUGCGACAUAGCAGCCGUCAGGUGUCUGCAUCGGCUGGGCGCCCUCGAAGCCUUGGGUGUGGAGCGCACCCCGCAGAGAGCCGGGCCUUUGGGGGCUCCGGGGGCAGGAAGGGAGGGAGCCUCCGGGCCGCACAGGCUGCGUCCCCAGGUCCGAUGCAGGGAGAGGGGCGGGAUAGGAAAUCUUUCUCACCUAAAGCCUGUGCUUGUGGCUGCUGUGGUUUCUUCGAGCUGAUGCCGUCUGCGUGCUGAGGGCGGGGGAGGCGUGACAGCGCGGUCCCUCUGCGUGGACACCCGGGAGCCCCACCCCCGGCCUCGGGUUCAGCUGAAUCCCAGCCGAGCCUGCAGCCGGAGAGCUGGGGCAUCCACACCAUGAAGCAGAAUCAACCCCAGAGGACUUGUGGGUCUGACUCGCUGGCGUCAAAACCGCGGUGUUUCCUCAGCCCUGAGGUUCAUCAGUUUUCCUCUUCGGCGACCAAGAGCGAAACUGGGCGGAUGGUAGCGCGUCAAGAGCACCUGAUGGCUUCAGUGGCCGGACGAGGGGACCCUUCCCACCGGGGCGGACGGGAGCCGGCUGCUGCUUACGUGCAAUAUGCUUAACGCUGGUCGCCAGGUCCCCGAGUCGUUUGCACGUGGAGAUGAGCUGCUGGUCCGGGGGUGCAGAGGAGGGGGAGGGCUCAGGAGCUGGGGGGCCCUUGUACACGGAGAUGCUCUUGGCCCCAAACAGACACGGGCUGGGGAGCCUUCUGGGAGCCAGCCCUGGAAGGUCCUAGGAAGCAGGCGGAGGCCAAUAAAAGCACUUUGAGAAAAACCGCAAGCCUUCAGCCUGGCUCCACGUUUCCACACUGGCAAACCCGGAUCUCCUGGAGCUCUGAAGUGUGCUCUCCUAGGGGUUGGCAAGGGGCCUCAGGACAGGGGGCUCCUGGACGUCAGCAGCAGGAGGGCCCAUCCCAGGGCCAGCCUUUUGCUGGCUUCUUUAUUGGAGGCCCUACAAAUGGGACGGUGCUUUCAGAUCUUGGUACCUAUUUUUGUAUUCUAAACACACCGCAGCAGCGCAGCCAGUUGACACGGGUGUGCAAAGCAAGUCCUUUAUCUCUAAGCCGUCUCCAAGCGAGAAGUCCUAGGUUUCUGACUUGCCCUGUGAUCCUGGGCCUCCGUUUCCUCAUCCAGCAAAUGGGAAUGCCGGAUGGGCCGGCCGCCUCCGACAGGCUCCGUUCCCAUCCUGGAGCAUCGGGAGUCUGUCCCCAGGCUCUCAGACCAGGUGCAGCCUGUGUGCUUGCGGUCACAGUGACCGUUCUCUGCACGGUGUAACCCAACGGCAGUGGAUUCAAACCCACAUGGUCCUGGCCGAGGUACCCUCCCCAAGGAGGCCGGCUCUCCAGGACAGACCUAAGCCAUAGCUACAGGUGGGGACGGUGAGACGACCAGCCCCAGCCUGAGGAGGUGGCCGUGGUGGCAGUGGCGGGUCUCACNNNNNNNNNNNNNNNNNNNNNNNNNNCACUGCCCCCUGAUGCUCUCGGUCCAAGCCUCGUGGUCUCCUUGGCUGUUUUUCUCUCGCUCAGACAGUACUAGCAAUACACUUUUUCCCCCCAAAAGCAGCUUAACUUAGGCACUUUUCACACCCUUCAUUCACGUGGUUGUGAAGCACACGGGCUGACAGCAGGCAGGGAUCGCCCUGCGUAUGUUAGGGCAGCUUUGGUGUCUGGUUUCUCUGACGGUGUGGCAGCGGUGGCUGAGCUUCGAGCUGGGGGGCCGGAUUCCCAGACAGGCCGUUUCGUCAGAACGCUCGCCCGUUCGGAAGCAGCGGCCCCCACGGGGGCUCGGCCCGUAGGGCUUUGUAGGGGGUCAGACCCUGAGCUGUGCAGCAGCGCCUCCGAGAGGGGUCUGUGUAGCUCGAACCCUCUGCGCUGUCUGGUUUGUCGAAGGGCCUCCAGGGAGGCCGAGGAGAGCCCCCUUUUCUCUUGGCCAGCCUUGCCCUUGGGUGACUUUUGAAGGGAUAGGUCCGCGUCCCCUCAGCGCUUUGCCUUAUCAACGUCUCGUCCUCGCCGUCUAGGGGCCAAAGACUGUGUCCACCAGCUCCCCAGACGGAAGGCAGAGUCUUCCCACCGCCUGCCGUCCAGCAGGGACACGAGCGAGCUGUGCGUGUGCUUAGAGCCCAGCGUAGCACCCGUCAAGCCCCAAACAGCCUCUCGUUGGGCCCUCAGGCCAACCGAGAAGUGGGACUCGAGCCGUCCUGUCCUGCGGCAGUGGAGACGGGAGUGGCCCCGGGGCCCGGAGCCUGGGAGGGGUUUACUGUAACCGCAAUACUGGCAGCCCAGCUGCUGACCUUGAGUGAACCUCUGCUAGGCGGCCCCCCCGGACCCUCGGGACGAGCACAGAGGUGGAGUGAGAGGAUUCCGUGGGGGCCUGGCCAUGGCCUUUGAUGGGGUCCACCGAAUAACCAAACCGAUUCUGUUUGUUUCUGUGUUUUGUAUUUUAAAAUCUUGUCAAGUGUUUUUUUGUGUUAGGAAAAAAAAGUCAUAAACUCCUCCCAGCUUUGUUUCCUGAGGGAUGCCCCGACUCCCAUGGAGGGGUUGGGAAGGCCAGGGAGUGGGCGUCAGGGUGGUCCGGGGGCCCGGGGAGUGGACACUUGGGUUUCCAGGCGGCUUCUGGGGGAGACGACCCCCCGGAGCCGGGCUCGGUGAGCCCUGCUCCGGAGGGCACAGCCACGCCGCACCUCCUUGUGCUGCGGUGUUCGCCUUGGCUUGGAGCACCUGCUUCUCCCAGGGGCAGCUGCUGCCGUGGACACCAACACGAGGCGCGCCUGCCCAGCCCCCGGGCUCUCAAGGGACGGUGUCUGUAGCGAGCCUUAACCGCCUGGGCAAGGCGGUCCCUGUCGUCCUUCCAGCAUUUCCAAAUCUCGGACUCGAUUCCUUUUCUCUUGGUGAGACCAUGCAGCCUCGAGAAUUCUGAGCAAUAGGGAGCCAGGGUUUCCCCCGGCUCUGUGACAGGGGCACGCCAGGGCACGACUGACUGCGUGAGGUGUGGGCUUGCUCAGGGUCCCACCGCAGGGGCAUUAUUUAUUAGGAGGCUCAGCAAGGUAACUGCAGCCUGGGGUGCAUGAGCGCAAGGCUGUGUGUGUGUGUGCGCGCGCCCGCGUGUGUGUGUGUGUCUGCACGUGUGCACGCCUGUGUGUGUGUGUGUGUGUGUGUGUGGAAUUACAUUGAUGCAUUUCUUGAGAAAGGUGCAAGAAUUUCACCCACACAGAGGGACACAUCUGCUUUGUUAUUUAUAAUAGAAAGCUAAAUUUUAAUUUUUUAAAGGACACUGCUAAUGAUUGAGAAUCGAGUUUUUAGUUUUGCUAUUUUUUUUAAUUGGUAGAGGAUUUUUAUAUAUUUUUUCCAUUUUGUUGGGUUGUGUCCUUAUUUAUAUAAAUACUUUAUCUGUGAGAGGCAAGGAGGAAAACCUUCUUUGCUUUUAAUUACUGUGGUUGUCAUCCUCCCUAUUUUAUUUCCGGUGUGAUUUCUCCGUCUUACCUUCUAAAUGAGAAAACGUUUUCCUGUAUUUGUACAUUGUCAGAUUCUAUAGUUUCAUAGAUAAUUUAACCAAACUGCUCUAUGUAUUAUUAUUCCGUUGAGUACAAAGUUCUAUUUUAACGUCUGUAAAUACUUCGGAACUGGCUUCUUUUCUCCGACUCCCCCCGUGGAGCUACUGUUUACAUCACAGAAACUGUAGAAUCUCUGCCCAUGUCCUGUAAGUAGUGAUCUGCUUAUUACACAUGAACCUGACAAGGACACUAUGGAGAUUAAAAGAAAAUACCGC
ensembl:lncRNA